rnacentral:rRNA from 1 species
UUGGAGGGCAAGUCUGGUGCCAGCAGCCGCGGUAAUUCCAGCUCCAAUAGCGUAUAUUAAAGUUGUUGCAGUUAAAAAGCUCGUAGUUGAAUUUCGGGAUCAAUGGGUUGGUCAUGCCCUCGGUAUGUACUGAUUUCAUUGGUUCUCACCUUCUAAGGAACCAUGAUGUCAUUUAUUUGAUGUUGUGGGAAAUUAGGACUGUUACCUUGAAAAAAUUAGAGUGUUUAAAGCAGGCUAACGCUUGAAUACAUUAGCAUGGAAUAAUGAAAUAGGACAUCCGAUUCUAUUUUGUUGGUUUCUAGGAUCGAUGUAAUGAUUAAUAGGGAUAGUUGGGGGCAUUAGUAUUCAAUUGUCAGAGGUGAAAUUCUUGGAUUUAUUGAAGACUAACUAUUGCGAAAGCAUUUGCCAAGGAUGUUUUCAUUAAUCAAGAACGAAAGUUAGGGGAUCGAAGACGAUCAGAUACCGUCGUAGUCUUAACCAUAAACUAUGCCGACUAGGGAUCGGAUGAUGUUGAUUUUUUAAUGACUCAUUCGGCGCCUUACGGGAAAC